UACGGAGGGUGCGAGCGUUAUCCGGAAUCACUGGGUUUAAAGGGUGCGUAGGCGGCGUUAUAAGUCAGAGGUGAAAGCCUACAGCUUAACUGUAGAAUUGCCUUUGAUACUGUAAUGCUUGAAUUAGGUUGAGGUUAGCGGAAUGUGACAUGUAGCGGUGAAAUGCAUAGAUAUGUCAUAGAACACCAAUUGCGAAGGCAGCUAGCUAGGCUUUAAUUGACGCUGAGGCACGAAAGCGUGGGGAGCGAACAGG
rnacentral:rRNA from 1 species